AUGGCCGGCGGCGGCGACCACCCGGGCGCCAAAAAGCGGAAGCGCGUGGCGGCGGGGAGGCCCGAGGCGCCGUCCAAGCGGGCCAAGGGGAAGAAGCCCUACGAAGCCCCCGCGGCGCGCGGCGGCGGCGGGUCCAAGGAGGAGCCGCAGCCCGUCACCGCCAUGGACGAGCGGGUCGCAGCCGAGGAAAUGUCCGAGUCGAGGAAGCUCGAUAACAACCUCGUGAAGGAACUCACAAUGCUAUGUGUAAAGAUGAAAUACCAUAACACGACAACGAUCAGGAGAUGCAGGCUAGUUACCGAGGCUCUCCGUAAAAUGGAUGGGAAAUAUUUAGAAAUUGCUAGAUCCCCUACCGCAUGCGUUCUUCAAUCAUGCGUGAAGUGGUGCUCACAGUCAGAGAGGGAUCCUGUUUUUGUUGCACUGCAGCCACAUCUGCUCGAUCUUUCUUGCGAUAAAUACUCUUGUUUCCUUGUGAAUUAUAUCAUAAAAGGGGCGAGUAAAGAACAGUUUGCCUUGUUCAUCUCUUCCCUUCAUGGUCAUGUCGCUUCUCUACUGUUUCACACAAUAGGAGUGUCAGUUGUUAAUUGCGCCUUUCGUCUGGCGACACUGCCUCAGAAAAGAAGUUUGUUGUUGGAAUUGUACUCCACCGAGUUUCAGCUGUUCAAGGACCUGACUGAACAAAAAUCAUGCAGUUUGUUAGAAACAAUUUCCAAGCUUGGGCUACAGAAAUCAUCUGUCCUGCAGCAUAUGGCUACUGUUAUCCAGACAGUUCUGGAAAAGGGUAUUGUUGAGUAUUCCAUAGUACACAUGGUCAUAUUGGAGUACUUAAUAAUAGCGGACAAGACAUCAGCCUUGGACAUGAUUCAUCAGUUAGUCCCCCAUCUUACUAGGGGGACAUAUGCCGUACAUGAACUAUCAGGUCUCAAUAGAUUAUCAACGAAAUCAAAAGAGAAGGAGAAAAGAUCUUCGGAACCACUUCUCAUUCGGAUCAUGCAGACGAAGGAAGGAUUAAAAUUAGGGCUUGUUUGCCUCAAGCAUGGCCGUGAGAAGGAUAGGAAGAGGAUUAGCAAAUGCUUGAAGGGGCAGAUUAUGAAGCUUGCUCUCAAUGGUUAUGGAUGCCUUUUCGUUAUUUGUCUUCUCUCCAUUGUUGAUGACACAGAACUUUAUACUGAGGUUGUAGAUGAGCUGACAAAGCAGUUAAAGGAACUCAUAUUUGACAAGAACGGGAGACGCCCAUUGCUGCAGCUAUUUCACCCACUUUGCUCACGUUAUCUGACUCCGUCUGAUUUGGUUUUUCUGAAUUACAACGUGCCUUCCCUUGUUUCAAAGGUUAACUUGGAUAGUAAGUUGGAUGAUGUAGCUGAUAAAGAACACGGGGGUUCAGAAGACACACUGGUUGCAUCUGAUAGCAAGGACCUGAUUAAACGGCAGCAAGAACUGUUGGUGAAAAGCGAGCUUUAUGAGGUUCUCAUUGAGACUUGCAUUGAAAAUGUUGGAGAGUUACUUAGAACAAACUUUGGGAAAGAUGUACUAUAUGAGGUUGCUGUAGGUGGAAAAAAUAACUUCUUGGAGGGGGUCACUGACAGGAUCCACGUACUUCACAAUGCUAUAGCUUGUGACGCAGCGCGCCCGAGGACAGAUUAUAUUGAUGAGCACGCCUUUGAUAACUACCACUCCAGCCCCAUAAUCAGAAGAAUGAUAUUUGAUUGUCCUGCAUUUGCUGCUACCCUCUGGAAAAAAGCCCUCCAAGGGAAAUGCAAGUUAUAUGCAGAUGGAUUCAGCUCUAGGGUGGUGGCUGCCUAUCUGGAAUCUCCAGAUUCCAGGGUGAAGGAUCUUGCGAAAUCCGAGUUGCAACCGCUCAUCGACGGUGGCAUACUGAAGCCUCAGGAACAUAAAGCAGAGGAGGAGAAGUCUGCCAUGGAGUGUAGUUCCGACGAGUGGUCAGAGCCAAAGGAUACAGAUAUUGGCGACUAUGCUAAAAAAGCAUACAUGGAUAUGAAGUCUGGCAAGCUUGUGGUGAGGUUUGGCACUGACAGGUUUACAUGCCCGUUCUGCCCCCGGAAGAAGAAGCAGGAAUACCGUUACAGUGGUCUGCUUGCUCACGCUAUUAGCCAAUCAUCCUACCAUGCUGCAAAGGUGAAGGCAAACCACCAGGCCCUGGUUAAUCAUCUCGAGACGGACCAUGCCGAUGCAGCAACCUCAUCCUCAAUGCCUGUACGACACAAACUGAUGUUGCUCUAA
rnacentral:rRNA from 1 species